UACGUAGGUGGCAAGCGUUGUCCGGAUUUACUGGGCGUAAAGAGCGCGCAGGCGGUCGUUCAAGUCGCGUGUGAAAGCCCCCGGCUCAACUGGGGAGGGUCACGCGAUACUGAUCGACUCGAAGGCAGGAGAGGGUAGUGGAAUUCCCGGUGUAGUGGUGAAAUGCGUAGAGAUGUGGAGGAACACCAGUGGCGAAGGCGACUCUUUGGUCUGUAACUGACGCUGAGGCGCGAAAGCGUGGGGAGCAAACAGG
rnacentral:rRNA from 1 species